rnacentral:rRNA from 1 species
GACGAACGCUGGCGGCGUGCCUAAUACAUGCAAGUCGAACGCUUCUUUCCUCCCGAGUGCUUGCACUCAAUUGGGAAGAGGAGUGGCGGACGGGUGAGUAACACGUGGGUAACCUACCCAUCAGAGGGGGAUAACACUUGGAAACAGGUGCUAAUACCGCAUAACAGUUUAUGCCGCAUGGCAUAAGAGUGAAAGGCGCUUUCGGGUGUCGCUGAUGGAUGGACCCGCGGUGCAUUAGCUAGUUGGUGAGGUAACGGCUCACCAAGGCCACGAUGCAUAGCCGACCUGAGAGGGUGAUCGGCCACACUGGGACUGAGACACGGCCCAGACUCCUACGGGAGGCAGCAGUAGGGAAUCUUCGGCAAUGGACGAAAGUCUGACCGAGCAACGCCGCGUGAGUGAAGAAGGUUUUCGGAUCGUAAAACUCUGUUGUUAGAGAAGAACAAGGACGUUAGUAACUGAACGUCCCCUGACGGUAUCUAACCAGAAAGCCACGGCUAACUACGUGCCAGCAGCCGCAGUAA